ACUCUAAAGUUUUAUAAACUCGGUAGAAUUUAAUGUUUAUUGUUGACUGUAAGUUAAUGAACUGCAGCUUUAUCUAAAAUGUGUGUAUUUCUAAAGGUUAUCUUUAAAAACUCCUGCUGAAGCGACUGAGAUCCACCUGACACACUGUGAUAAAGAUGGCGUUUAUUAAAGAGGAGAGUGAAGACAUUAGGAUUAAAGACGUAUUCAGCAUGAAAGGAAGAAGAUACUGAGACACGAAUGAAGAUGGCGUUUAUUACAGAGGAGAGUGAAGACAUGAGGACUGAAGAAACAUUCAGCACGAAACGAGAAGAUACGCAGACACAAACAAACCUGGUGUUUAUUAAAGACGAGAGUGAAAACAUUAGGAUCGAAGACGUGUUCAGCAUCACAUGUGAAGAUAUAGAGACACAAACAUCUAUUAGAGAUAAGAAUAAAGGCAUGAAGACACAAACGUCUAUUAGAGAGAAGAGAGAAGACACGAAGAAGAAGAAACCAUUCAGAGUCAAGCAUGAAGAUGCUGAGACACAAACAGCCAGGAAGACAAGCCUGUC